rnacentral:miRNA from 1 species
UCCUUUUUAUAUUGUGCUACUGUGUCCUCUGCGAAGUAGUGCAAUGUGAAAAGGGCAUUGGGGAGUCGCGCCUUUC